rnacentral:lncRNA from 1 species
CCCCCGUUUCAUUGGUAAAAUUACCCACCUUUGCCACUGGAUGGGUCGACCCAGAGGCCAGGACCGAUCUGAGGAACACUCGCCUCUCAUCUCGCUCUCUCUAGUGAUUAGGGUUUCCCCACGCCGCCGCCAGGGGCUGACCACCGUCCUGGUCCCUUGUCUCAGCCGGCGCGCCGCCGAACGCCUCCAGCCCCAUCCUACUCCGUCCCCCAUCCACCCGAAGGGGAUCUCCACUCCGCCGCCAGGAGCACUUCUGCCGACCCUGCCGCUACAAAUCAGGGGAGAGAACCACUGGAUUGCCACUACAGUCGGGAGCCUCAAUCCCCCCAUCGACCGGACGGGCUUCUCCACCCAUCCUAUCUGCCCCACCGCAAGCUAGCCCACUGAAGGUACUUCCGAAUGUUUUACAGCUAUUAUUACUAUAAAUGAUUAUCAAAACUUCAAAAUUGUUGUCUUGCUAGCAUGUCUUAGUACAUUACUAUAUGAGGCCAUUGAUAGCUACACACACAAAAAGCAAACAAAAUGUCUGAUAUAGCAUAGACCAAUCACAUUGCUAGUUGGCCCCGUGGAGUGCACCUUUUCUUCUAGUUAGUAAAUAAAAGAUGAAACUUUACAUGGUUAGCAGGCUGCACACUCGUACUGGUCCUCAGUCCAAUCUCCUAAAAAGGAAAAGAUCUCAGCUCUCCACUUAAUUUUCCAAUCUCCAGCAUAACAGCGGUCGGAGAGAAAGGAGGAGUGGCGCCACCGGUGACUCCAGACCUCUCCGUCCCUGACAACGGCAACCAAAUAUUUGAGGUCAGGAAACCCCAUUCCCUUCAUCUCCUCAAUCUCCUAGAAAUAAUUUGUUUAUGUUAUUUCCUUGAGGAAAACCCUAGCUUGAUUUCCCCUCAUAACCCUAACCUUCCCUUACUACAACAGUGGAGUGGAGGGGGGGGGAGAGCGGGUGCUGAGAUAAGAGGAGGUAGAUAGGUGAUGAAUCCAGUUGAGAUUCCACACUGGUAACAUCCAGCUUCUGUGAAUUUGUUUCAGGUUCUCUCUCCUUAACUUUGUGAACGUUAUGUUGUAUGUCAAUUUGUUUUUGGGUGGCUGUUGUUGUUUCAGGUUCGAUCCCGUUCCCAACUCAGUGUGUGUGGAUGGAAAGAGGCUGCGACAAUCUGCAAUGCCUGUUGACCCCGUGUCCAAGGUGCUCGACGACGAUAACCUUCUCAUUGAGAUCCUCCUCCUAAUCGGCUACCCCACCACCCUCAUCUGCGCCUCUCUUGUCUGCAAACGUUGGUUCUGUCAUGCCUCUGACCCUGCCUUCCUCUGCCGCUUCCGCAAGCUCCACCCACCCUGCCUCCUCGGCGUAUAUUUCAAGACCAGGGCAAACCGCUCACGCUUUGUGCUGAUGCUACCGCAGCCCCCAGAGAAUAAUGCAGUCAUCAGCUGCGCAAGCUCCAGCCUGGAUGCACAUAAACUCAUCUUGGAUGAAUGCAAUGGCAUCAUCUUACCAAAACAUUUAACAACUGCGAUGAAGAACCCAGAUCAAUACAUAUAGUGCUCAACCCACUCUGCCCUGCAAGAGGCAUGGUUAUCGUACCUCCAUUCCCAUGCUACGGACGGCAGGACGGCUAUUUCUACAAGUUCUGUCAACUCCUAUUCGAAGAAGAAGGUGACGGCUUGUCAUACUUGUGUGUGCGGGGUGAACUUUCUAAUGAUGGAAGAAAAUCUACGGUGUAUGUGUAUAUGUUGCAAGAUGGUGUUUGGUGCUUGCAUACCUCAGCAACGACACAACUUCCUUGUCGGCCACAGAUACUGAAUCCUCUGCUCGUUGACAAUAAAAUCUACAUGGCGGCCACCCAGAGUGAAAUUCUUGUGUUGGAUUUGACAGCCUCAAGUUUCUCCACAUUUCAGGUCCCACAAGGGUUGGUUAUUGGUUACAAACGAACCAUGUUGUCACGGGCAUAUGAUAAUUCUGGUGUGUAUCUCAUUCAUUUGAACGGGCUUCAGCUUUGCAUCUGGCUGUGCACAGGGGACAACUGGUUGCUGGUGGAUACCAUCUGCUUGCGUGAGAUGUAUGCUAAAUUGAGGAUGCCUGAUCUCACAAAUUGGGUGUGGAUAAAUCAGGUGGGGGUAAAUGCUGAGUUUGUUUUCUUGAAGAUGGGUCGAUACCUAGUCUAUGUAGGCAUCAAGUGCAGGAAGUUGUGUAAAGUGUAUGAGAUGACAAGUGAGGAUCGAUGGUUGGGUCGUAUCCAUCCUUGUAUGAUGAUCUGGCCUCCUACAUUCCAUGCGCUCAAGGAUGGUCCUGCAAGGUUUGUUUUUUGGCCUUUGGGUGAUGUUAUUGUAUUUUCUUUUUGUGUGGUCGCAUUAGAAGCAUAGAUGAAACAUUUAUAAUAGGACGAUGAGGGUGUUCCCUGUGUAUGGGUGCUUGGUCGGCAUGCUGGGAAGAAAAAUGGAGGAACCGGGAAUAAGUAUGCGAAUUUAGAGGAAUGGGGGUUUGCUGCUGAACUAUGAUCCUCAAGAUAUCAUGUCUCAGAUUGUUAAUGUUGACUGUUUUCAGAAUGUUCUCUUAUAAUUGAGUUAAGGGGUUUUCCUGGAAGCAUUCUUGUGUUUAUGCAUCAAACAAUUUACACUGGCAUGCUUGUGUUUAUGCAUCUCUUCUCUUCUGAUUGAGAUGUAUCGCUACGAACUUCUUGCUCUUAUAUGCAAGGGUAUAAUAAUAUAAUCUAACAACUUGUGCGAUAGGUACCUGGUUGAUGUUCCUUUCACCCUCCUCUGUGGCCAUCCUGUAUGUUUUAGUUGGCAUUUAAUCUGUAUUUUUGGAAGAGUUCUUAUCAUUUUGACUUUUUCUUUCCGCGCGAGAAUCAUUUGACCUCAUAGUACAACCGGAUGUCUUUUCACUUGUUUUGAUCUUGUCACCAUUAAUGUCGCCAUCCUUAUUAUUGGUCUGUUUUGCUUGGAACAGCAAUGCCAUGUGAAGACGAGGAAGGCCUUGGAUCAAAGAAGAGCGACUGCGGCUGGGUCGUGCGGUAGCGAAAACCCCUCGUCUUAGAGAAGCGAGUGCAUUAUAUCUAUAUGUUAGCUGUGUUUUGAGUCGGAGACAAGUUAUUGCUCGGUAAUGGAUUGGGAUGGUGGAUAAAACUGGAUCGGGUGCUCCUAUUGUUGUUUUGAACAGACAUGUAUGUUUGUUUGAACAAGUUGUGUUUUUUUUUACUUUCCAGUGUAUUGUCCAUUGCAAAACCUAUGCUCGACUCCGUUAGCAACGUGCCUGUGGUAUCGAUCUGCUAGAUCAUAUUGAGGCAUUAGCAUUUGUUGCUAGAAGUAAGAAUAAGACAUUUAUUUUGAACAGACCUUUGUAUGUCUGUGUUGCCCAUGGAGUAACAAGAAGAUACUUUUAUGGAAUUACAGGAGCACAACAUCAAAAUCGUUUUUUUUUACUUUUUUUUUGCGAAAAACAUCAAAAUCGAAUGACCGUCAAGAAGAUAGUUAUAGAUUACUUGAUUGUAAUUCCUUGUUGUUCUUUACUCGAUGGUAUCCAUAUAUAAGCCCCCCAUUGUUUUUCACCACACC